UACAGAGGGUGCGAGCGUUAAUCGGAAUUACUGGGCGUAAAGCGUGCGUAGACGGUCAUGCAAGUCGGAUGUGAAAGCCCCGGGCUCAACCUGGGAAUUGCAUUCGAGACUGUAUGGCUAGGGUGCGGAAGAGGGAAGCGGAAUUUCCGGUGUAGCGGUGAAAUGCGUAGAUAUCGGAAGGAACACCAGUGGCGAAAGCGGCUUCCUGGUCCGACACCGACGUUCAGGCACGAAAGCGUGGGGAGCAAACAGG
rnacentral:rRNA from 1 species